rnacentral:rRNA from 1 species
CUUUGAGUGGACGAAACAAUAUCUUAGUGGCGGACGGGUGAGUAACGCGUGGAUAACCUGCCUUAUACCGGGGGAUAACACUUAGAAAUAGGUGCUAAUACCGCAUAAGCGCACAGCUUCGCAUGAAGCAGUGUGAAAAACUCCGGUGGUAUAAGAUGGAUCCGCGUCUGAUUAGCUAGUUGGUGGGGUAAUGGCUCACCAAGGCGACGAUCAGUAGCCGGCCUGAGAGGGUGAACGGCCACAUUGGGACUGAGACACGGCCCAAACUCCUACGGGAGGCAGCAGUGGGGAAUAUUGCACAAUGGGCGAAAGCCUGAUGCAGCGACGCCGCGUGAGUGAAGAAGUAUUUCGGUACGUAAAGCUCUAUCAGCAAGGAAGAAAAUGACGGUACUUGACUAAGAAGCCCCGGCUAACUACGUGCCAGCAGCCGCGGUAAUACGUAGGGGGCAAGCGUUAUCCGGAUUUACUGGGUGUAAAGGGAGCGUAGACGGUAUGGUAAGUCAGAUGUGAAAGCCCGGGGCUCAACCCCGGGACUGCAUUUGAAACUAUCAGACUAGAGUGCAGGAGAGGUAAGUGGAAUUCCUAGUGUAGCGGUGAAAUGCGUAGAUAUUAGGAGGAACACCAGUGGCGAAGGCGACUUACUGGACUGUAACUGACGUUGAGGCUCGAAAGCGUGGGGAGCAAACAGGAUUAGAUACCCUGGUAGUCCACGCCGUAAACGAUGAGUACUAGGUGUCGGGGGUC